GACGAACGCUGGCGGCGUGCUUAACACAUGCAAGUCGUACGGUAAGGCCCUUUCGGGGGUACACGAGUGGCGAACGGGUGAGUAACACGUGAGUAACCUGCCCACAACUUUGGGAUAACGCUAGGAAACUGGUGCUAAUACUGGAUAUGUGCUCCUGCUGCAUGGUGGGGGUUGGAAAGCUCCGGCGGUUGUGGAUGGACUCGCGGCCUAUCAGCCUGUUGGUGGGGUAGUGGCCUACCAAGGCGGCGACGGGUAGCCGGCCUGAGAGGGUGACCGGCCACAUUGGGACUGAGAUACGGCCCAGACUCCUACGGGAGGCAGCAGUGGGGAAUAUUGCACAAUGGGCGCAAGCCUGAUGCAGCAACGCCGCGUGCGGGAUGACGGCCUUCGGGUUGUAAACCGCUUUCAGCAGGGACGAAGCUUUUUGUGACGGUACCUGCAGAAGAAGCACCGGCUAACUACGUG
rnacentral:rRNA from 1 species